rnacentral:rRNA from 1 species
UACGAAGGGGGCUAGCGUUGCUCGGAAUUACUGGGCGUAAAGCGCACGUAGGCGGCUUUCUAAGUCGGGGGUGAAAUCCUGGAGCUCAACUCCAGAACUGCCUUCGAUACUGGAGAGCUCGAGUCCGGGAGAGGUGAGUGGAACUGCGAGUGUAGAGGUGAAAUUCGUAGAUAUUCGGAAGAACACCAGUGGCGAAGGCGGCUCACUGGCCCGGUACUGACGCUCAUGUGCGAAAGCGUGGGGAGCAAACAGG